ACAAUGAAAACAUCCCCAGUCACCACCGGCAGGCUGCAUUUUGACUCUCUGUCUUGCACAUGCUCAGUGAGACGCCAGUCGUGAAUCUUUUCAUUCAUACUGUACAUCUCUCUCCCUCCAUCGCCUGGCUAGGCAAGCUGCUGCUGUAGCCUCCAACUUACCUCCACUCUGCUCUAUGCUGUCUGACAAUGGAUGAUUGAUUUCUCCAUCCCUCCUUCCGUUUAUCCCUCGCUCCUCAGUGGGGAAAAGAAACGAGAAACAGGGGGAAUCUCCUUCUCAAAGAUCUGUAAUUGACAACACAAGACUGUCUUGGGGGAAUUCUUCUCUCUCCUCUCUUCUUUCCUGUGAUGGAUGGAUGAGGAUUUAUAUUGGUCAUGUAACCCUCUUCAAGGCAGUAGAAGACGUGAGAGAAGAGGGGGAAGAGGAGGAGGAGAAGUAGAUGAGCGAUGUCUUGGGCUACAGUGUAAGGGAGGUUUUCAACAGAGGCUGAUGUGCCUUUCUAGUCUCUCUCGGUGUUGAUUUUGGACAGAUGAUGAUGUUUUAGUUUGACCAUGGAGUUCAGCGCCUCAUCUGUGUUUGACCAGCAGAAAGAUUCUGCUGAAGAAGUGGAUCUUAACGUUGUUUACCAAGCAGCCGCCAAUGGGGACGUCAACACAUUAACAGCAACCAUACGGGAAGAUCCCUCCAUUUUGGAGUACUGUGAUGGUGAAGGCUCCACCCCUUUGAUGCAUGCGGUGUCGGGGAGGCAGGUGGACACGGUGAAACUCCUGCUGAAGAUGGGUACCUCCAUCAAUACCCAGGAUGCCUGUGGAAGGACUUCGCUCUCCCUAGCGACAUAUCUGGGGUGGCUCGAAGGCUGCGUGUGUUUGCUGCGAAAUGGAGCCAAGCAGAACAUCCCCGAUAAAAACGGUCGCCUGCCUCUUCACGCAGCGACCGCUGAGAUCGACCUCAAACUCAUGGCAGUCCUGCUGCAGCAAUCGACUGCGUGUGAAAUCAACCACCAAGACAACGAGGGCAUGACUGCUCUUCAUUGGGCAUCUUUCCACAACCGUCCUGAGCAUGUGCAGGCUCUCCUGCAGAAAGGGGCGGAUCCCACACUCGUGGACAAGGACUUCAAGACAGCCCUCCAUUGGGCAGUGCAGAGUGGCAGCAGAUUCAUGUGUUCUCUCAUCCUGGAGCACCGCCUGGGCUCCUCGGUCAUCAACUACGACGACGAAAACGGCAAGACCUGCGUGCACAUCGCCGCUGCCGCUGGAUACAGCGACAUCCUCUAUGAGUUGGCGCGCUUUGCCGAGACCAACCUGCAGGCCCUGGAUGUGGACGAACGAACCCCUCUUCAUUGGGCGGCAGCAGCGGGGAAGGAGGACUGUGUCCAGGCCUUACUGCAACUAGGGGUGGAGACGGGGCCCAGGGAUAUCAACGAGAACACACCGCUCACAUAUGCAAUGUACUGUGGCCACACUGCCUGCAUCAAGCUCCUCUCAGCUGACAACAGGUCCAAUUCAGCCAGAAAGCUGUCUUCCCAGGGCAGUGAUCCAUCCCAGCUGUCUUCCCAGGGCAGUGAUCCAUCCCAGCUGUCUUCUCAGGGCAGUGAUCCAUCCCAGCUGUCUUCUGAGGGCAGUGAUCCAUCCCAGCUGUCUUCUCAGGGCAGUGAUCCAUCCCAGCUGCCUUCUCAGGGCAGUGAUCCAUCCCAGCUGCCUUCUCAGGGCAGUGAUCCAUCCCAGCUGUCUUCUCAGAGCAGUGAUCCAUCCCAGCUGCCUUCUCAGGGCAGUGAUCCAUCCCAGCUGUCUUCUCAGGGCAGUGAUCCAUCCCAGCUGCCUUCUCAGGGCAGUGAUCCAUCCCAGCUGCCUUUCCAGGGCAGUGAUCCAUCCCAGCUGUCUUCUCAGGGGAGUGAUCCAUCCCAGCUGUCUCCUCAGGGGAGUGAUCCAUCCCAGCUGUCUUCUCAGGGGAGUGACCAAUCCCAGCUGUCUUCUCAGGGGAGUGACCCGUCCCAGAAGAAGGAGGGCAAGUUCCGCAUGCUCAACCAGAUCUUCUCCUGCAAGAGGAAGGAGCACUACACCGCCCGCCAAAGAGAGCUGGGCCGCGACGGACACCUGAGGGAGGAGACCUCAGAGGUGGAUGACAUCAUCACCAUGUUCGAUUGUCUGGCUGACUCCUCUUCGGCCAAGGAGCUUGAAAACGAACGCUCCAAAGUCAGGAAACGGCCUUCGGUCGAAGCAGCGCAGAAACUCAAUCCACUCGACAUCCGGACGGCGAAGGACUACAAGGGACUGCCUCCUAUACGGACGCAAAGUCUUCCACCCAUCAAUCUGGGCACGUCUUUGUUGGCCAUCUCCCAGAGUGCUGUGGAGCAGAGUCAAGCCACGCGGCCGAUGGUCAACCACUUUGCACACCGCUCUCAGAAAAGCAAGAGUGAGCAUGACUUAUUUGACAGCAGGCCGAAGGGACAAGCGUUGGUUAGUCAUUCCUGGAAGACCGAGUCCAAUCAGUCCAUUUUGGCCCACAAAUCCUGGAUAUCACCCCCAACAGAAAGGCUGUUGGACAAACUGUACCAUGAGACUUAUGGACCUACUGAUGUCCUCUGCCCUCACCAAGCCCCAUACAUACAGAAGAAUGAACAAGGUAUUAUUACUUGAGUUUUUCACAAGGUGAGAUGAGUUAAGUAUUUCACAAGGUGAGAUGAGUUAAGUAUUUCACAAGGUAAGAUGAGUAAGUAUUUCACAAGGUAAGAUGAGUUAAAUAUUUCACAAGGUGAGAUGAGUUAAGUAUUUCACAAGGUAAGAUGAGUUAAGUAUUUCACAAGGUGAGAUGAGUUAAGUAUUUCACAAGGUAAGAUGAGUUAAGUAUUUCACAAGGUGAGAUGAGUUAAGUAUUUCACAAGGUAAGAUGAGUUAAGUAUUUCACAAGGUAAAAUGAGUUAAGUAUUUCACAAGGUAAGACGAGUUAAGUAUUUCACAAGGUAAGAUGAGUUAAGUAUUUCACAAGGAAAGAUGAGUUAAGUAUUUCACAAGGUAAGAUGAGUUAAGUAUUUCACAAGGUGAGAUGAGUUAAGUAUUUCACAAGGUAAGAUGAGUUAAGUAUUUCACAAGGUAAAAUGAGUUAAGUAUUUCACAAGGUAAGACGAGUUAAGUAUUUCACAAGGUAAGAUGAGUUAAGUAUUUCACAAGGAAAGAUGAGUUAAGUAUUUCACAAGGUAAGAUGGGUUGAGUUUUUCACAAAAGGAGAGGAUAACUUAGCAGAGGGGAUGUGUGACUUACUGAAACAUAGAAACUUGUGGUGCAUUCUCAUGAGUUAUCAAGUGAGUCAUCUCACUGUCCUUUCACCAGAGCUAAGCAGCCGUUAGCAAAAAAGCCACAUCCUGCUAAGAUAAUAUAUUGUAGAUAGCUACACUUGACUUCACUGUUCACACCUUGAGUCCGCUUCGAUUCAAAACCAGUAGCCCUAACCAUUUUUCUUGCCUGUCUAAAAUAGCAAGGGAGUGACGCAUGAGAAAACGUGUGAACUUCUAUGCAGUUGAGUUUUGAUGAUUCUUCUCAACAAGGGAACGUAACUUCUGCUUUACAUCACCACAAUGUAUGCAUCCAAGUGCAUGCUAAUAACAUUAUGUACUUCUCUUCACCACAGCUCCAAAUACACACCUGCUAACUCUGGACAGGUUAAACAUGAGGGAGACUGCCCUAACACGGAACUGCUUGGCCCCCAUUCGUGACCACUGUAC